AUUGAACGCUGGCGGCAUGCCUUACACAUGCAAGUCGAACGGUAACGCGGGGCAACCUGGCGGCGAGUGGCGAACGGGUGAGUAAUAUAUCGGAACGUACCCAGGAGUGGGGGAUAACGUAGCGAAAGUUACGCUAAUACCGCAUACGAUCUACGGAUGAAAGUGGGGGACCUUCGGGCCUCAUGCUUGUGGAGCGGCCGAUAUCUGAUUAGCUAGUUGGUAGGGUAAAGGCCUACCAAGGCAACGAUCAGUAGCUGGUCUGAGAGGACGACCAGCCACACUGGGACUGAGACACGGCCCAGACUCCUACGGGAGGCAGCAGUGGGGAAUUUUGGACAAUGGGCGCAAGCCUGAUCCAGCAAUGCCGCGUGAGUGAAGAAGGCCUUCGGGUUGUAAAGCUCUUUUGUCAGGGAAGAAACGGCUCGGGCUAAUAUCCUGGGCUAAUGACGGUACCUGAAGAAUAAGCACCGGCUAACUACGUGCCAGCCGCCGCAGUAAUAC
rnacentral:rRNA from 1 species